rnacentral:rRNA from 1 species
CCUACGGGUGACAGCAGUGAGGAAUAUUGGUCAAUGGGCGGGAGCCUGAACCAGCCAAGUCGCGUGAGGGAAGACGGUCCUAUGGAUUGUAAACCUCUUUAGGCGGGGAGCAAUGCCGGGCAUGCGUGCCCGGAGGGAGAGUACCCGCAGAAUAAGCAUCGGCUAACUCCGUGCCAGCAGCCGCGGUAAUACGGAGGAUGCGAGCGUUAUCCGGAUUUAUUGGGUUUAAAGGGUUCGUAGGCGGAUUUUUAAGUCAGCGGUAAAAUGUCCGGGCUCAACCCGGGCCGGCCGUUGAACCUGGGGAGCUUGAGUGGGCGAGAAGUAUGCGGAAUGCGUGGUGUAGCGGUGAAAUGCAUAGAUAUCACGCAGAACUCCGAUUGCGAAGGCAGCAUACCGGCGCCCGACUGACGCUGAGGCACGAAAGCGUGGGGAUCGAACAGGAUUAGAUACCCGAGUAGUC